GAGGUCCCGCCUGCCCAGUGACAGGGUUUAACGGCCGCGGUAUCCUGACCGUGCGAAGGUAGCAUAAUCACUUGUUCUUUAAAUAAGGACUAGAAUCAACGGCGUCACGAGGGUCUUACUGUCUCCUUUUUCUAAUCAGUGAAAUUGAUCUCCCCGUGAAGAAGCGGGGAUAACAAUAUAAGACGAGAAGACCCCAUGGAGCUUCAAGCUCAACAACUACUCCUAUAAAAGCUACCCCAUAACCCCAAGGAUCUACUUGUUAGCUUUGGGUUGGGGUGACCGCGGAGUAAAACUUAGCCUCCAUAAUGAAAAGAAUAAAAUCCUUAUCCGAGAGCUACGCCUCUAAGAAUUAGAACACUAACACAAAAUGACCCGACCUACUCGAUCAAUGAACCAAGUUACCCUGGGGAUAACAGCGCUAUCCACUUCAAGAGCCCAUAUCGACAAGUGGGUUUACGACCUCGAUGUUGGAUCAGGGUACCCCAGUGGUGUAGCCGCUACUAAAGGUUCGUUUGUUCAACGAUUAAAACCCU
rnacentral:rRNA from 1 species